rnacentral:rRNA from 1 species
CGGUUAAGUUAGAAAGGGCGCACGGUGGAUGCCUUGGCACUAGGAGCCGAUGAAGGACGGGACGAACACCGAUAUGCUUCGGGGAGCUGUAAGCAAGCUUUGAUCCGGAGAUUUCCGAAUGGGGAAACCCACCACUCGUAAUGGAGUGGUAUCCAUAUCUGAAUUCAUAGGAUAUGAGAAGGCAGACCCGGGGAACUGAAACAUCUAAGUACCCGGAGGAAGAGAAAGCAAAUGCGAUUCCCUGAGUAGCGGCGAGCGAAACGGGAUUAGCCCAAACCAAGAGGCUUGCCUCUUGGGGUUGUAGGACACUCUGUACGGAGUUACAAAAGAACGAGGUAGAUGAAGAGGUCUGGAAAGGCCCGCCAUAGGAGGUAACAGCCCUGUAGUCAAAACUUCGUUCUCUCCUGAGUGGAUCCUGAGUACGGCGGAACACGUGAAAUUCCGUCGGAAUCCGGGAGGACCAUCUCCCAAGGCUAAAUACUCCCUAGUGACCGAUAGUGAACCAGUACCGUGAGGGAAAGGUGAAAAGCACCCCGGAAGGGGAGUGAAAGAGAUCCUGAAACCGUGUGCCUACAAGUAGUCAGAGCCCGUUAACGGGUGAUGGCGUGCCUUUUGUAGAAUGAACCGGCGAGUUACGAUCCCGUGCAAGGUUAAGCAGAAGAUGCGGAGCCGCAGCGAAAGCGAGUCUGAAUAGGGCGCAUGAGUACGUGGUCGUAGACCCGAAACCAGGUGAUCUACCCAUGUCCAGGGUGAAGUUCAGGUAACACUGAAUGGAGGCCCGAACCCACGCACGUUGAAAAGUGCGGGGAUGAGGUGUGGGUAGGGGUGAAAUGCCAAUCGAACCUGGAGAUAGCUGGUUCUCUCCGAAAUAGCUUUAGGGCUAGCCUCAAGGUAAGAGUCUUGGAGGUAGAGCACUGAUUGGACUAGGGGCCCCUACCGGGUUACCGAAUUCAGUCAAACUCCGAAUGCCAAUGACUUAUCCUUGGGAGUCAGACUGCGAGUGAUAAGAUCCGUAGUCGAAAGGGAAACAGCCCAGACCGCCAGCUAAGGUCCCAAAGUAUACGUUAAGUGGAAAAGGAUGUGGAGUUGCUUAGACAACCAGGAUGUUGGCUUAGAAGCAGCCACCAUUUAAAGAGUGCGUAAUAGCUCACUGGUCGAGUGACUCUGCGCCGAAAAUGUACCGGGGCUAAACGUAUCACCGAAGCUGCGGACUGUUCUUCGAACAGUGGUAGGAGAGCGUUCUAAGGGCUGUGAAGCCAGACCGGAAGGACUGGUGGAGCGCUUAGAAGU